rnacentral:rRNA from 1 species
GGACUACACGGGUAUCUAAUCCUGUUUGCUCCCCUAGCUUUCGCGCCUCAGCGUCAGGUUUAGCACAGAAAACCGUCUUCACCACCGGUGUUCUUCCACAUAUCUACGCAUUUCACCGCUACACGUGGAAUUCCGUUUUCCCUUGCUAACCUCUAGUUUGAAAGUUUCAAAUGCAGCUCCGGGGUUGAGCCCCGGAAUUUCACAUCUGACUUUUCAUACCGCCUACGCGCCCUUUACGCCCAGUAAUUCCGAUCAAUGCUUGCACCCUCCGUAUUACCGCGGCGGCUGGCAC